rnacentral:rRNA from 1 species
GACGUAGGGGGCGAGCGUUGUCCGGAUUUAUUGGGCGUAAAGAGCGCGUAGGCGGCCCGUUAAGUCGGAUGUGAAAACCCGUGGCUCAACCACGGGCCUGCAUCCGAUACUGGCGGGCUCGAGGCAGGCAGGGGAGAUCGGAAUUCCUGGUGUAGCGGUGAAAUGACGCAGAUAUCAGGAGGAACACCGGUGGCGAAGGCGGAUCUCUGGGCCUGUCCUGACGCUCAGGCGCGAAAGCUAGGGGAGCAAACAGG